GACGGAGGGUGCUAGCGUUGUUCGGAAUCACUGGGCGUAAAGGGCGCGUAGGCGGCAUGGCGUGUCGGCUUGUGAAAGCCCGGGGCUCAACCCCGGAGGUGCGGCCGAAACUGCUGUGCUGGAGGCCGGAAGAGGAGGGUGGAAUACCCAGUGUAGAGGUGAAAUUCGUAGAUAUUGGGUGGAACACCGGUGGCGAAAGCGGCUCUCUGGUCCGGUCCUGACGCUGAGGCGCGAAAGCGUGGGGAGCAAACAGGAUUAGAAACCCCCGUAGUCC
rnacentral:rRNA from 1 species